UGCAAGUCGAACGGCAGCGCGGGGCAACCUGGCGGCGAGUGGCGAACGGGUGAGUAAUAUAUCGGAACGUACCCUGGAGUGGGGGAUAACGUAGCGAAAGUUACGCUAAUACCGCAUACGAUCUAAGGAUGAAAGUGGGGGAUUCGCAAGAACCUCAUGCUCCUGGAGCGGCCGAUAUCUGAUUAGCUAGUUGGUGGGGUAAAGGCCUACCAAGGCAUCGAUCAGUAGCUGGUCUGAGAGGACGACCAGCCACACUGGAACUGAGACACGGUCCAGACUCCUACGGGAGGCAGCAGUGGGGAAUUUUGGACAAUGGGCGCAAGCCUGAUCCAGCAAUGCCGCGUGAGUGAAGAAGGCCUUCGGGUUGUAAAGCUCUUUUGUCAGGGAAGAAACGGUGGGAGCUAAUAUCUCCUGCUAAUGACGGUACCUGAAGAAUAAGCACCGGCUAACUACGUGCCAGCAGCCGCGGUAAUACGUAGGGUGCAAGCGUUAAUCGGAAUUACUGGGCGUAAAGCGUGCGCAGGCGGUUUUGUAAGUCUGUCGUGAAAUCCCCGGGCUCAACCUGGGAAUUGCGAUGGAGACUGCAAGGCUAGAAUCUGGCAGAGGGGGGUAGAAUUCCACGUGUAGCAGUGAAAUGCGUAGAGAUGUGGAGGAACACCGAUGGCGAAGGCAGCCCCCUGGGUCAAGAUUGACGCUCAUGCACGAAAGCGUGGGGAGCAAACAGGAUUAGAUACCCUGGUAGUCCACGCCCUAAACGAUGUCUACUAGUUGUCGGGUUUUAAUUAACUUGGUAACGCAGCUAACGCGUGAAGUAGACCGCCUGGGGAGUACGGUCGCAAGAUUAAAACUCAAAGGAAUUGACGGGGACCCGCACAAGCGGUGGAUGAUGUGGAUUAAUUCGAUGCAACGCGAAAAACCUUACCUACCCUUGACAUGGAUGGAAUCCCGAAGAGAUUUGGGAGUGCUCGAAAGAGAACCAUUACACAGGUGCUGCAUGGCUGUCGUCAGCUCGUGUCGUGAGAUGUUGGGUUAAGUCCCGCAACGAGCGCAACCCUUGUCAUUAGUUGCUACGAAAGAGCACUCUAAUGAGACUGCCGGUGACAAACCGGAGGAAGGUGGGGAUGACGUCAAGUCCUCAUGGCCCUUAUGGGUAGGGCUUCACACGUCAUACAAUGGUACAUACAGAGGGCCGCCAACCCGCGAGGGGGAGCUAAUCCCAGAAAGUGUAUCGUAGUCCGGAUUGUAGUCUGCAACUCGACUACAUGAAGUUGGAAUCGCUAGUAAUCGCGGAUCAGCAUGUCGCGGUGAAUACGUUCCCGGGUCUUGUACACACCGCCCGUCACACCAUGGGAGCGGGUUUUACCAGAAGUAGGUAGCUUAACCGCAAGGAGGGCGCUACC
rnacentral:rRNA from 1 species